rnacentral:rRNA from 1 species
AGUGAACGCUGGCGGUAGGCCUAACACAUGCAAGUCGAACGGCAGCACAGUAAGAGCUUGCUCUUACGGGUGGCGAGUGGCGGACGGGUGAGGAAUACAUCGGAAUCUACUUUUUCGUGGGGGAUAACGUAGGGAAACUUACGCUAAUACCGCAUACGACCUACGGGUGGAAGCAGGGGAUCUUCGGACCUUGCGCGAUUGAAUGAGCCGAUGUCGGAUUAGCUAGUUGGCGGGGUAAAGGCCCACCAAGGCGACGAUCCGUAGCUGGUCUGAGAGGAGGAUCAGCCACACUGGAACUGAGACACGGUCCAGACUCCUACGGGAGGCAGCAGUGGGGAAUAUUGGACAAUGGGCGCAAGCCUGAUCCAGCCAUACCGCGUGGGUGAAGAAGGCCUUCGGGUUGUAAAGCCCUUUUGUUGGGAAAGAAAAGCAGCAGGUUAAUACCCCGCUGUUCUGACGGUACCCAAAGAAUAAGCACCGGCUAACUUCGUG